AACGAACGCUGGCGGCAUGCCUAACACAUGCAAGUCGAACGAGACCUUCGGGUCUAGUGGCGCACGGGUGCGUAACGCGGGGGAACCUGCCCUUAGGUUCGGAAUAACUCCCCGAAAGGGGUGCUAAUACCGGAUAAUGUCUUCGGACCCAAGAUUUAUCGCCUUUGGAUGGGCCGGCGUUGGCUUAGCUAGUUGGGAGGGUAAAAGCCUACCAAGGCGACGAUCCAUAGCUGGUCAGAGAGGAUGAUCCGCCACACUGGGACGGGGACACGGUCCAGACUCCUACGGGAUGCAGGAGAGGCUGAUAUAGCAAAACGGCGGGAGUCCUGAUGCAGCAAUGCCGCGUGAGUGAUGUAGGUCGUAGGGAUGUAAAGCUCUUUUACCCGGGAUGAUAAUGACAGUACCGGGAGAAUAAGCUCCGGCUAACUCCGUG
rnacentral:rRNA from 1 species